rnacentral:rRNA from 1 species
AUACGUAGGUCCCGAGCGUUGUCCGGAUUUAUUGGGCGUAAAGCGAGCGCAGGCGGUUUGAUAAGUCUGAAGUUAAAGGCUGUGGCUCAACCAUAGUUCGCUUUGGAAACUGUCAAACUUGAGUGCAGAAGGGGAGAGUGGAAUUCCAUGUGUAGCGGUGAAAUGCGUAGAUAUAUGGAGGAACACCGGUGGCGAAAGCGGCUCUCUGGUCUGUAACUGACGCUGAGGCUCGAAAGCGUGGGGAGCGAACAGGAUUAGAUACCCUGGUAGUCCACGCCGUAAACGAUGAGUGCUAGGUGUUGGAUCCUUUCCGGGAUUCAGUGCCGCAGCUAACGCAUUAAGUAUUCCGCCUGGGGAGUACGGUCGCAAGAUUAAA